GAACCAUCAGUCCGCCUCCUCUUGUAAACUCCUGAUCCUCGUCUGGUGGACAUGGUACCUGAAAAGAAAACUUUUAGUACUAAGGAUCAACAAAAUUCUGGCAGCAUAACGGCAUAAAAUGAACAAACCAAACGAUUUAACUCGAUAAAAUUAAACUGCUCAAUGUCCUGCAAAGAAAAUUUAAUCCACAACACUGCCAAGCAAUGCUAACCAAUUAAAUUUGCAAUUCAUCCAUAUGGAGUUUACUUCGCCAUAAUCCAUCACAAGGCAAACCAACAUGCUAAUAUAAAAUAGACACAAACAGAGUCGACUAUCUAUGAUAGAGCGUAUUGUUUAGCGGCCGACAAUAAUAAUAAAGAGAAAAAUAAGGAAUUAAUC
rnacentral:lncRNA from 1 species